rnacentral:rRNA from 1 species
UACGUAGGGGGCAAGCGUUGUCCGGAUUUAUUGGGCGUAAAGAGCGUGUAGGCGGUCCGGUAAGUCCGUUGUGAAAGUCAGGGGCUCAACCCUUGAAUGCCGGCGGAUACUGUCGGGCUAGAGUCCGGAAGAGGCGAGUGGAAUUCCCGGUGUAGCGGUGAAAUGCGCAGAUAUCGGGAGGAACACCUAUGGCGAAGGCAGCUCGCUGGGACGGUACUGACGCUGAGACGCGAAAGCGUGGGGAGCAAACAGG